rnacentral:rRNA from 1 species
CACAGCCGCGGUAAAACCGAGGGUGCAAGCGUUAAUCGGAAUUACUGGGCGUAAAGCGCGCGUAGGUGGUUUGUUAAGUUGGAUGUGAAAGCCCCGGGCUCAACCUGGGAACUGCAUCCAAAACUGGCAAGCUAGAGUACGGUAGAGGGUGGUGGAAUUUCCUGUGUAGCGGUGAAAUGCGUAGAUAUAGGAAGGAACACCAGUGGCGAAGGCGACCACCUGGACUGAUACUGACACUGAGGUGCGAAAGCGUGGGGAGCAAACAGGAUUAGAUACCCCCGUAGUCCCUGUCUCUUAUACA